UACGUAGGUGGCAAGCGUUGUCCGGAUUUACUGGGCGUAAAGCGUGCGCAGGCGGUUUUGUAAGUCUGUCGUGAAAGCCCCGGGCUUAACCUGGGAAUUGCGAUGGAGACUGCAAGGCUUGAAUCUGGCAGAGGGGGGUAGAAUUCCACGUGUAGCAGUGAAAUGCGUAGAGAUGUGGAGGAACACCGAUGGCGAAGGCAGCCCCCUGGGUCAAGAUUGACGCUCAUGCACGAAAGCGUGGGGAGCAAACAGG
rnacentral:rRNA from 1 species